GAUGAACGCUGGCGGCGUGCCUAAUACAUGCAAGUCGAGCGAACAGACGGGGAGCUUGCUCCUCUGACGUUAGCGGCGGACGGGUGAGUAACACGUGGAUAACCUACCUAUAAGACUGGGAUAACUUCGGGAAACCGGAGCUAAUACCGGAUAAUAUAUUGAACCGCAUGGUUCAAUAGUGAAAGACGGUUUUGCUGUCACUUAUAGAUGGAUCCGCGCCGCAUUAGCUAGUUGGUAAGGUAACGGCUUACCAAGGCGACGAUGCGUAGCCGACCUGAGAGGGUGAUCGGCCACACUGGAACUGAGACACGGUCCAGACUCCUACGGGAGGCAGCAGUAGGGAAUCUUCCGCAAUGGGCGAAAGCCUGACGGAGCAACGCCGCGUGAGUGAUGAAGGUCUUCGGAUCGUAAAACUCUGUUAUUAGGGAAGAACAAAUGUGUAAGUAACUAUGCACGUCUUGUCGGUACCUAAUCAGAAAGCCACGGCUAACUACGUG
rnacentral:rRNA from 1 species